AGGAAGGUCCCUCUUCCGAAAUCUCCGCUGGGGAAACAGCUCGCUUCCCUCACCACCCCCAGAUGAGGAGCACUGUGCUAAGGAGUCUCAGGCACCUGGUCAGCGGGAGAAGGAAGGACUGUGGACCUGCUGGGCCGCAGAGUCAGCGAUUCCCUGGGCUCCAGGCUGACGCCUGCCCCGACAGAGCAGGACAUUCCAGCCAGUUUGGGGGUGGAUGUCUUCAGUUCCAGCCCAGGCACGAGAACUGCUGACCACUUCCUGCAGGCCUCCGACCCGGCGGCCCAGCCACCCAUCCGGCCGGGGUGGCCAUCAGUCAUCUGGAAAGCCUAUGAGCCCUGUGUCCUUGUUUUGCAAAGAGCAGUUCCUGAAAUCACGGGGCUUUGAGCUCUGCUCUUCUGAUCGGGGGCCGGUUUCAGCAGCAAAGGCCAGAAAUAACACACAGUUAGAGACAGGGUUUCACCAUGUUGACCAGGCUGGUCUUGAACUCCUGACCUCAAGUGAUCUGAACUCGGCUUCCCAAAGUGCUGGGAUUACAGCGGUGAACCACGGUGUCCGGCACUCAGUCACAUCUAAAAAUGAAAGGGCCAUGGAAUCACCAGAACUCUCCUUCCUGUGACCUUAGGUUCGUGUCGCCACCUGGUGAUUGACUUCUCUGUGUGCACAUUUGCACCAUUGCAGGCAUGACCAGGGUGGAGCAGCAAAGCGGGGCCCAUGUACCAUGUUUCAAGCCUGUUUCACAGCAGAAGACGGCCUCAGCUUACAAACCACACUCAUGACCAAAUCUGUUGCCCCGUCUUGUAUUAUACUAUUAUAGAGAGUUUUCUUGGCACGUGGCCACACCCAUUCACUUACUGCUGUCGGUUUUCCUGCUGUAAGGGCAAGGUUGUGACGGACCUGAUGACUGGCAAAGCUAAACAUGCUCCCUCCGGCCCUACCCAGAGCACGUUUGCUUCCCCUGUUCUAGAAUGACCUUGGAGGCUCCUGCGCGCCUGUUUCUGCUGGACAGGACCAAUGGGAGAACCAGCACUGAAGUGGGGAGAGUGCGGGUAGCCUCUAGCCCCCGGCCUCUGCAUUCCUGAGAGUCACUUUUAUGGCGUUGUAGAUUAACCCCUUGGGGUGCAAGCAUGCUGGCCUCUCCUUGGCUGCCAGUGUCCAUAGUCCCCUGAAGUGGCUGUGGGAGAUUUUAGCAUACAGCCUGCCAGGAUCACAGUUGUUUGAGCUGGCCCUGAACCCUGAGAAGCCCUUUACUCCCCUGCUUUGCCUGGUUCCUCUCCCUCCAAGUCUCAGCACAGGUGCCUCCUCUUUCAGGAAGCCUUCCUAGAUUUCACCCUGCUCUCUUUCCUCCCAGGCCUCCCUUUGCUGCUGCACCGAUCGUGCUUUGCCAUCCUGGUCUGUUUCCCAGUCAGUUACCCACCCCUUGUCUGUGAACUCCUCCUGUGAGCAGCCAAACCAUGGGACAGGUGGGGUCCCAGAAGGCAGAGCUGGGAUGGGAGUGCUGCCAACGUCAGUGGCAGGCGGUGGUGGCCAUGCCUGCUGCUUCUACGUUGGCUAGAGAUUGCGUCCCCGGCACCUCGUCUGCCCAGACUCCGGAGCAGCCAAACCCCGGGAUGGGAAGCACUUGCUGAAAACAAGUUUGUUCCGCCCUCAGGGAAAGCCUCUGGCCAGGGUGGCUUGUUUUGUUUUCUCUCCAGACUCUAACAUACCUGUCCAGCAGCUUCCCAGCCCAGAGCGGGCCAGAGACGGAAAACAGCCUGGUGUAAAAGGUGGGUGACGAGAUGGAGAAACUCUAAGACUGUCCCCUCACCCUGGCAAUGGGCCGCCUUGUCUUAUAAUUCAGUAAAACACCAGCUGGUCCCAGAGAUCAGGAAAGGGAGAGAGGAGGGAUGCUGCUUUCCAGAGCAGCAUCUCAAAGAUUAACACUGGGGCUUGGAGCUCGAAGGAGCGGGCGUUAGGUUCCCUGGAAAACCGCAGCCUCUUGGGCAGGACUUGCUUCCCGGGGUUUCUGGGAAUUGAGGGCACCACUGCCUUUGUCUCCGGCUGCUCCACUCACACCUUAGAGAGCCCCAGAGGGCAGUCGAGGGAGGGGUGAGUGUCCUGCGCGUCCGUCCGUGUGAAGAGACCACCAACCAGGCUUUGUGUGAGCAACAUGGCUGUUUA